GAUGAAGAACGUAGCGAAAUGCGAUAAGUAAUGUGAAUUGCAGAAUUCCGUGAAUCAUCGAAUCUUUGAACGCACAUUGCGCCCGCCAGUAUUCUGGCGGGCAUGCCUGUUCGAGCGUCAUUUCAACCAUCAAGCCCCCGGCUUGUGUUGGGGACCUGCGGCUGCCGCAGGCCCUGAAAACCAGUGGCGGGCUCGCUAGUCACUCCGAGCGUAGUAAUACAUCUCGCUCAGGGCGUGCUGCGGGUUCCGGCCGUUAAAAGCCUUAUUUUACCCAAGGUUGACCUCGGAUCAGGUAGGAAGACCCGCUGAACUUAAGCAUAUCAAUAAGCGGAGGA
rnacentral:misc_RNA from 1 species